rnacentral:rRNA from 1 species
GUUAGCGGCGGACGGGUGAGUAACACGUAGGCAACCUGCCCUCAAGUUUGGGACAACUACCGGAAACGGUAGCUAAUACCGAAUAAUUGUUUUCUUCGCCUGAAGGAAACUGGAAAGACGGAGCAAUCUGUCACUUGGGGAUGGGCCUGCGGCGCAUUAGCUAGUUGGUGAGGUAACGGCUCACCAAGGCGACGAUGCGUAGCCGACCUGAGAGGGUGAUCGGCCACACUGGGACUGAGACACGGCCCAGACUCCUACGGGAGGCAGCAGUAGGGAAUCUUCCGCAAUGGGCGAAAGCCUGACGGAGCAAUGCCGCGUGAGUGAUGAAGGUUUUCGGAUCGUAAAGCUCUGUUGCCAGGGAAGAACGCUUGGGAGAGUAACUGCUCUCAAGGUGACGGUACCUGAGAAGAAAGCCCCGGCUAACUACGUGCCAGCAGCCGCGGUAAUACGUAGGGGGCAAGCGUUGUCCGGAAUUAUUGGGCGUAAAGCGCGCGCAGGCGCGGUCAUUUAAGUCUUGGUGUUUAAUCCCCGGGGCUCAACCCCGGAUCGCACUGGAAACUUGGGUGACUUGAGUGCAGAAGAGGAGAGUGGAAUUCCACGUGUAGCGGUG